AUGUAAUCUGUUGUGAGUUCCGACUUCUGAUGUGUUUAUUGUCGUGAAUACUUCAUUCAACUUAAGUACUAUUGAUGCUAUCAUAAGGCAAACCAUAUUAUGCACCUUCGGUAUAUAAUAUUCGGACGAUGUGGAUGGAUUGCUGCUAAUUGAAGUAACUGGACCAACAUUGUUAUCGUUCGUAUCGCAACGAGCUACACCAUCGUCGCUGCUUCCAAUGCUAGCUUCUAAACUGCACUGAUUCACAUUAAGGGUGAAGAUGUCACCGCCGCCGUCGCUGGGUGUUGCAUUCAAAGAAUUUGACGUUAUUGUAGAUGUUAUUCCUUGCGGGCGGCCACUACUGCUAUUGUCAUCAUGUCGACGCUUUAAUGCUCUGGGCAUUGGCUUUGAG
rnacentral:lncRNA from 1 species